UUGGAGUGGGUCAAGGGUGUCAGGUAGGAUGGAGGUGGAGGUCUAAGCAAUGAGGCAGGCUAGGCCCCUGGUCUAAAGCAGUGAUGCAGGCUAGGGGCCUGGUCUAAAGCAGUGAUGCAGGCUAGGGGCCUGGUCUAAAGCAGUGAUGCAGGCAGGGGCCUGGUCUAAAGCAGUAAUGAAGGCUAGGUGCCUGGUCUAAAGUAAUGCAGGCUAGGGGCCGGUCUAAAGUAAUGCCGGCUAGGGGCCUGGUCUAAAGCAGUAAUGCAGGCUAGGGACCUGGUCUAAAGCAGUAAUGCAGGCUAGGGAACUGGUCUAAAGCAGUAAUGCAGGUUAGGGCCUGGUCUAGAGUAGUGAUGCUAGGGCCUGGUCUAAAGUAAUGCAGGCUAGGGGCCUGGUCUAAAGUAAUGCAGGCUAGGGGCCGGGUCUAGAAG
rnacentral:lncRNA from 1 species